GUAGGUGGCAGGCGUUGUCCGGAAUUAUUGGGCGUAAAGCGCGCGCAGGCGGUUCUUUAAGUCUGAUGUGAAAGCCCACGGCUCAACCGUGGAGGGUCAUUGGAAACUGGAGAACUUGAGUACAGAAGAGGAAAGCGGAAUUCCACGUGUAGCGGUGAAAUGCGUAGAGAUGUGGAGGAACACCAGUGGCGAAGGCGGCUUUCUGGUCUGUAACUGACGCUGAGGCGCGAAAGCGUGGGGAGCAAACAGGAUUAGAUACCCUGGUAGUCCACGCCGUAAACGAUGAGUGCUAAGUGUUAGGGGGUUUCCGCCCCCCCCUAGUGCUGCAGCUAACGCAUUAAGCACUCCGCCUGGGAGUACGGCCGCAAGGCUG
rnacentral:rRNA from 1 species